UUCCAGGCCAUGACAUGAGGUUUGGG
rnacentral:piRNA from 1 species